GUGUUGGCAUAAUCACUGGGCUCCUCAUUCUAAUCCUUACCGAAACUGUCCUGCCCAAAAUCUUCAACUUCAGCAUCAGCCGGCCGAUGGAGGAGGAAGGUGGCUGGGCGGCGUUACUAUUUCCGCGGCGGCGAGGCGAACCUCCGGCUGCCGUUCGGUUGAAAUCGAAGCAGAUGGGGCCUAGGGUUUUGGGAUUUGACUGAU
rnacentral:lncRNA from 1 species